rnacentral:rRNA from 1 species
UGGGGAAUAUUGCACAAUGGGCGAAAGCCUGAUGCAGCAACGCCGCGUGCGUGAUGAAGGCCUUCGGGUUGUAAAGCUCUGUCUUCUGGGACGAUAAUGACGGUACCAGAGGAGGAAGCCACGGCUAACUACGUGCCAGCAGCCGCGGUAAUACGUAGGUGGCAAGCGUUGUCCGGAUUUACUGGGCGUAAAGGAUGCGUAGGCGGAUACUUAAGUCAGAUGUGAAAAUCCCGGGCUUAACUUGGGAACUGCAUUUGAAACUGGGUAUCUAGAGUGCGGGAGAGGAAAGUGGAAUUCCUAGUGUAGCGGUGAAAUGCGUAGAGAUUAGGAAGAACACCAGUGGCGAAGGCGACUUUCUGGACCGUAACUGACGCUGAGGCAUGAAAGCGUGGGGAGCAAACA